UACGUAGGGGGCGAGCGUUGUCCGGAAUUAUUGGGCGUAAAGAGCGUGUAGGCUGUUCGGUAAGUCUGCCGUGAAAACCUGAGGCUCAACCUCGGGCGUGCGGUGGAUACUGCCGGGCUAGAGGACGGUAGAGGCGAGUGGAAUUCCCGGUGUAGCGGUGAAAUGCGCAGAUAUCAGGAGGAACACCAACGGCGAAGGCAGCUCGCUGGGACGGUACUGACACUAAGGCGCGAAAGCGUGGGGAGCGAACAGG
rnacentral:rRNA from 1 species